rnacentral:rRNA from 1 species
UACAGAGGGUGCGAGCGUUAAUCGGAAUUACUGGGCGUAAAGGGUGCGUAGGUGGCUACGUAAGUUAGGUGUGAAAUUCCUGGGCUCAACCUGGGGACUGCGCCUGAUACUGCGAGGCUAGAGUACUGUAGAGGAAGGUGGAAUUUCCAGUGUAGCGGUGAAAUGCGUAGAUAUUGGAAGGAACAUCGGUGGCGAAGGCGACCUUCUGGACAGAUACUGACACUGAGGCACGAAAGCAUGGGGAGCAAACAGG